rnacentral:rRNA from 1 species
GAUGAACGCUGGCGGCGUGCCUAACACAUGCAAGUCGAACGAAGCGCCUUACCGGAUUCUUCGGAUGAAGGUCUGGUGACUGAGUGGCGGACGGGUGAGUAACGCGUGGGUAACCUGCCCUGUACAGGGGGAUAACAGCUGGAAACGGCUGCUAAUACCGCAUAAGCGCACGAGGAGACAUCUCCUUGUGUGAAAAACUCCGGUGGUACAGGAUGGGCCCGCGUCUGAUUAGCUGGUUGGCAGGGUAACGGCCUACCAAGGCAACGAUCAGUAGCCGGUCUGAGAGGAUGAACGGCCACAUUGGAACUGAGACACGGUCCAAACUCCUACGGGAAGCAGCAGUGGGGAAUAUUGCACAAUGGGGGAAACCCUGAUGCAGCAACGCCGCGUGAGUGAAGAAGUAUUUCGGUAUGUAAAGCUCUAUCAGCAGGGAAGAUAAUGACGGUACCUGACUAAGAAGCUCCGGCUAAAUACGUG